rnacentral:rRNA from 1 species
GCCAGACUCCUACGGGAGGCAGCAGUGGGGAAUAUUGCACAAUGGGGGGAACCCUGAUGCAGCGACGCCGCGUGGGUGAAGGAGCGUUUCGGCGCGUAAAGCCCUAUCGGCAGGGAAGAAGAUGACGGUACCUGACCAAGAAGCCCCGGCUAACUACGUGCCAGCAGCCGCGGUAAUACGUAGGUGGCAAGCGUUAUCCGGAUUUAUUGGGUGUAAAGGGCGUGUAGGCGGGAGCGCAAGUCAGAUGUGAAAACUCAGGGCUCAACCCUGAGCCUGCAUUUGAAACUGUGUUUCUUGAGUGCUGGAGAGGCAAUCGGAAUUCCGUGUGUAGCGGUGAAAUGCGUAGAUAUUAGGAGGAACACCCGUGGCGAAGGCGGCUUACUGGACGGCAACUGAC